rnacentral:lncRNA from 1 species
CUUGUAUAAAGUCCUCUUCAUAACUUGAUGAAGUAAGUGGAAGGAUUUACGACUUGCAGAUUAAUUUCUUCUCUUAUUCUCAAAUCAAUUUAAUCAAAUCUUUUAAAUUAUUAGGUUCUUAAAAUGAUAUAGUUAUGGGGAUAAUUUAUUCAUAGCCUUCCAUUAAGGUGCGUGAUAAUGAGUCCAAUAUUUAAAUAGGUAUUGGAGGCACCAUACGUCUAGUGUCUAUUAGGUAUUGGAAUUAUUAUUUAUCAUAUGACUAUCUUGUUGUGCCCUUCAG